UGGGGAAUUGUUCGCAAUGGGCGCAAGCCUGACGACGCAACGCCGCGUGGAGGAUGAAGAAUUUCGGUUCGUAAACUCCUGUCGAGCGGGACGAAAGAUGCGCGGGUUAAUACCCCGCGCAAGUGACGGUACCGCUAAAGGAAGCCCCGGCUAACUCCGUGCCAGCAGCCGCGGUAAUACGUAGGGUGCAAGCGUUAAUCGGAAUUACUGGGCGUAAAGCGUGCGCAGGCGGUUAUGCAAGACAGAUGUGAAAUCCCCGGGCUCAACCUGGGAACUGCAUUUGUGACUGCAUAGCUGGAGUGCGGCAGAGGGGGAUGGAAUUCCGCGUGUAGCAGUGAAAUGCGUAGAUAUGCGGAGGAGCACCGAUGGCGAAGGCAAUCCCCUGGGCCUGCACUGACGCUCAUGCACGAAAGCGUGGGGAGCAAA
rnacentral:rRNA from 1 species